AGAAUCAACGCUGGCGGCGUGCCUAACACAUGCAAGUCGCACGAGAAAGGGACUUCGGUCCUAAGUACAGUGGCGCACGGGUGAGUAACACGUGAAUUAUCUACCUCCGAGUGGGGAAUAACUGAGAGAAAUCUUAGCUAAUACCGCAUAACACUUACGAGUCAAAGCAGCAAUGCGCUUGGAGAGGAGUUCGCGGCAGAUUAGUUAGUUGGCGGGGUAAUGGCCCACCAAGACGAUGAUCUGUAUCCGGCCUGAGAGGGCGCACGGACACACUGGAACUGAAACACGGUCCAGACUCCUACGGGAGGCAGCAGUGGGGAAUUUUGCGCAAUGGGGGAAACCCUGACGCAGCAACGCCGCGUGGAGGAUGAAAUAUCUUGGUAUGUAAACUCCUUUCGAUGGGGAAGAUAAUGGCGGUACCCAUAGAAGAAGCCCCGGCUAACUUCGCGCCAGCAGCCGC
rnacentral:rRNA from 1 species